CACGUAGGGGGCGAGCGUUGUCCGGAAUUACUGGGCGUAAAGCGUGCGCAGGCGGUCUUUUAAGUCAGAUGUGAAAUCCCCGGGCUUAACCUGGGAACUGCGUUUGAAACUGGAAGGCUUGAGUGUGGCAGAGGGGGGUGGAAUUCCACGUGUAGCAGUGAAAUGCGUAGAGAUGUGGAGGAACACCGAUGGCGAAGGCAGCCCCCUGGGCUAACACUGACGCUCAUGCACGAAAGCGUGGGGAGCAAACAGG
rnacentral:rRNA from 1 species